rnacentral:misc_RNA from 1 species
UCAUGGCAUGCGUCACUUUAAGUGGCAGACAAGAGAUAGUGGAUGGCUGAUAGAGACUUGUCCUUUUAGAUUGAGAGAAAUCAGAUACCCUUUACAAGUCAUAAGGGUCUUGGCUGUCUUCCCAAUAAUGUCCUUCCAUGUCAGUGUCGCUAUCACUGUCGUCCUUUUGAUGAGACUUGGAGCACUCAGCGGAAUCUUUUGCUUUUGAACUGGCGACUUUUGAGCUGGCUUUUUUGUCGUCUUCUGAUAAUGCGCUGAAAAGCUGUCGGCGAAGUUCAUCUUUCGGCACUGAUUUGAGUAGGUCUUUGAAUAAGUCUGACAGAUUUGAUGAGACUGAAGGACUGGGCAUUGUUGGCUUUUUAGCCAAGGUAAUUAAUCCUUUGGAGGAAUAAACAGAGGGUGACUCAAAGAAGUCACACUUAUCCCACCAUUUGAUUAGGACUGUCUGAGUUAACCAUGGCACAUGAUUUGUGGAAAACUCGCCAAAUUUUUUCAUUUUCUUUUUUGAGAUAAUAUAAUCCCAUCGUACUAUCCAUGGUACUUUAUACAAGAUAGUAAACAUUAAUCUUGAAUCCUUUAAGGAUUUAUUUGAAUCAGCGAACUGCUCAUAGACCUCUCUUACCUUAUUAGAUAAAGCUAUGGGAAAUAUUCCCCAGUUAAAGAACCAUUCGUAAAACCAAGAUGGAAAUUCAAAUAGUUCUUUAUCCAACUGGAACUGUAUGAACCAGCUGAAUUUUCUUUGCCUAUUUUCAUAAAUUAAGGCACCGGUCCAGGCUUGCAUAUAGUCAAAAUAAUUGAAAUACCUGGGCUUUCCGAAAUUUAAUUCUUUCUGUUUGAAGAGAGAAUCUCCCCGCUCAUCAUAGGAUAUAAUCCUUUUAAUGAUAAAUUUAUUAAAUGCCCACUCAUUAGCGGACCUUUCUGUUAGAGAGAAGACCACUGAGUCGGUCUCUGCUAGGAUAGCCUAGUAAUAAGUAUAGUCCUUUGGCAAAUAAGGAUUCACUGUGUGAUGUUCUGUGUAGAAGUUUGCUACCUCAUAAGGUUUCAGUUCCUUGUGUUUUUUAUCCAUUGGCAUAAGGAAGCAGUAACUAAUUGGAAUAUAGGGGUAAUUAACCUCUUUGGCGUUAUUAGCCUCAAUGCUGAUAGCAUAAGCAUCUUCUCGAAAUUUGUCCACCAUUUUAGGCGGAGGUGACGAAACCUCAUGGGUUCGCUUUGAAGGAGUUAUCGAUGCCUUUGAACUCAUGUCCUGUAAGAAAUUCACGAGUUAGAAAAUCAAGCAAUGAGUUAGUUUCUCCUUUAAUGAAUUCAAUAUCAAAAUCGAAUACAGAUAAGAUGGCUUGCCAUCUAGCAAAGAUCUAUUUAGAUGCGAUGUUUUUAACAUCCUUUAGUAAUAUCUCUUUUGCACUUUUACAAUCAACCCUUAUAAGGAAUUUUUGAUUCAAUAAAUCAGAUUCAAACUUUUGUACACAGAUAACUAUAGAUAAGAUCUAUUUUUUAACCGUAGAGUAAUUAACUCUAGGUCCUGUCCAUAUUCCACUAGUAAAUCUAACUAGGGUUUCUUUGUCAGCUAUCCGUUGUUUUAGAAUGCCACCAUACCCUAUGUUAGAUGCGUCAGUCUCCACUACCUUUAAGGCUUUUGGAUGAGGAAUCGCCAGACAGGGGAGUGACUUGACUCUUUGUUUUAUCCGUUUAACAGAUAAGGUGUGUUCUGGGGUCCAUGGUCCUGGAUUCUUUUUUAAUUUUUGAAAAAGAGGUUUGGCGUCUUGUGCUAGGCUUUUAUAAAAGUCAGCAACAUAAUUAAGACUGCCUAAGAAUCUCUGUAAUUGGGUUUUGUCUUUUAUUUCAUCAGGAAAUUUGUUGGUAAACUUAAUGGCUCGAUCUAUGGGAAUAAUAGAUCCUUUUUCUAUGUUAUGUCCUAAAAAUCUAAUUUUAGCCUGGAAGAGUUUUAUCUUCUUGGCUGACACUACUAAACCAUUUUUCUUUAUAAUUUUUGUAAACACAUUUAAGUGUUUAAAAUGUUGAUCUAUUGUUCUGGAAAAAAUAAGGACAUCAUCAAUAUAAACAAUUGAAAAUGCUGAAUAAGCAUUAAAUAUUUCAUUCAUAAUUUUUUGAAAUUCUGAUGGGGCAUUUUUAAGCCCAAAAGGCAUUACGUUCCAUUCGUAAUGUCCAAAUGGUACAGUAAAGGCAGUUUUAUACCUAUCUGUUUCAGCUAUCUGGAUUUACCAAUAUCCAGAUUUCAUGUCGAAUUUUGAAAAGAUUUGGGCCUCGUAGAGUCUAUUUAAUAAAUCUCUUUUAUUAGGCAAUGGAUAUCUUAUCCAUCUAAGGGCCUUAUUUAAAGGCUUAUAAUUGAUAACUAACCUUGGGACUCCUCUUUCUAAUUCGGCAGCAUUUUCUACAUGAAAGGCCGGACAA